rnacentral:rRNA from 1 species
UUGGCUCGGUCUAUAUGGUCAGUCAUCCAGAUAGUUUCUGGCUUAUAUCCUCCUUAUAGUGUUGCUAAUGUAUUUGGCAACUGGUUACAUGGGAUUGGUCACGGGUUUAGAACUCUUCUUAGGGUUGGAGCACUUGCUGUUAUUUGGUCACUUUGGCUAUGUAGAAAUGAUAAGGUUUUUAACGAUAAAAGUACUUUUCUAAUGCAGGUUAUUUACAGAUGUACCAGGACUCUUCGUUUAUGGCUCUCUCUACAACGCGUGGAGAAUCGAGACAUAUUUAUUGAGAUGUGUACACGAUUGGGAGAUACGGCGAGGGAUACUUUUACCCAACAUGGGUGGCAACAUGAUCUUAAGAUUGGCCCACCUCGCUUUAGGCGUUAUACGGACUCUACAUGUUUUUUUGUAUUACACCUUUUAUUUUUCGUUUAUACAAGAGGACUCUGUUUGACCGUGUGCAUCUUAUUUAUGCAGAGGCCAGGUUUAAUACUUAAACCUUUUAAGUAA